ACGCUGGCGGCGUGCCUAACACAUGCAAGUCGAACGGAGCACUUCGGUGCUUAGUGGCGAACGGGUGAGUAACGCGUGAGCAACCUACCUUUCAGUGGGGGACAACAGUUGGAAACGACUGCUAAUACCGCAUGAUGUCAUCGGGGGACAUCCUCUGGUGACCAAAGCUUUAUGUGCUGAAAGAUGGGCUCGCGUCUGAUUAGCUAGUUGGUGAGGUAACGGCUCACCAAGGCGACGAUCAGUAGCCGGACUGAGAGGUUGAACGGCCACAUUGGGACUGAGACACGGCCCAGACUCCUACGGGAGGCAGCAGUGGGGAAUAUUGCACAAUGGGCGCAAGCCUGAUGCAGCAACGCCGCGUGAGGGAAGACGGUUUUCGGAUUGUAAACCUUUGUCUUUGGUGAAGAAGAAAGUGACGGUAGCCAAGGAGGAAGCCACGGCUAACUACGUG
rnacentral:rRNA from 1 species